GCCCCGGCUAACUACGUGCCAGCAGCCGCGGUAAUACGUAGGGGGCGAGCGUUGUCCGGAAUUACUGGGCGUAAAGGGUUCGCAGGCGGCAUGGCAAGUCCGAUGUAAAAGGCGAAGGCUCAACCUUCGUAAGCAUCGGAAACUGUCAAGCUUGAGUGAAGGAGAGGCAAGUGGAAUUCCUAGUGUAGCGGUGGAAUGCGUAGAUAUUAGGAGGAAUACCGGUGGCGAAGGCGACUUGCUGGACUUCAACUGACGCUGAGGAACGAAAGCGUGGGUAGCAAACAGGAUUAGAUACCCUGGUAGUCCACGCCGUAAACGAUGAGUGCUAGGUGUCGGGGGUCAAACCUCGGUGCCGCCGUUAACACAAUAAGCACUCCGCCUGGGGAGUACGUGCGCA
rnacentral:rRNA from 1 species